CAUUGGAUCUCCAGUACAAUAGCCUCCUCAGGGUUAUCCUAAUGGAAGGAUGCACAAACUGGACAAUGGUUUGGACCCGAUCCAGUAAUGAUGUGGGGAAGAGGUUGUGUUUGUAUCUUUCCAGAAGGAGCAGCGUAGCCAAUUUGGGUGCCAGAGCAUUACAUGUGUCACCACAAUAGACCCAGAGAAGCUCCUUGUCUCAUCGUCCAAAAGACUGAGAGUUGCCCUGAUGACAGAAAUACAGGAAAGGAAGAGGA